GGAAUUUUGGACAAUGGGCGAAAGCCUGAUCCAGCCAUUCCGCGUGCAGGAUGAAGGCCCUCGGGUUGUAAACUGCUUUUGUACAGAACGAAAAGGUUUCUAUUAAUACUAGGAGCUCAUGACGGUACUGUAAGAAUAAGCACCGGCUAACUACGUGCCAGCAGCCGCGGUAAUACGUAGGGUGCAAGCGUUAAUCGGAAUUACUGGGCGUAAAGCGUGCGCAGGCGGUUAUAUAAGUCAGAAGUGAAAUCCCCGGGCUCAACCUGGGAACUGCAUUUGAGACUGUAUAGCUAGAGUACGGUAGAGGGGGAUGGAAUUCCGCGUGUAGCAGUGAAAUGCGUAGAUAUGCGGAGGAACACCUAUGGCGAAGGCAAUCCCCUGGACCUGUACUGACGCUCAUGCACGAAAGCGUGGGGAGCAAACAGGAUUAGAUACCCUGGUAGUCCACGCCCUAAACGAUGUCAACUGGUCGUUGGGUCUUAACUGACUCAGUAACGAAGCUAACGCGUGAAGUUGACCGCCUGGGGAGUACGGCCGCAAGGUUGAAACUCAAAUGAAUUGACGG
rnacentral:rRNA from 1 species